AGCUUUGCGUAGUGGCAGUAUCGUAGCUAAUGAGGUUUAAUCUGAGGUGCGAUUAUUGCUAAUUGAAGACUAGUG
rnacentral:snRNA from 1 species